rnacentral:lncRNA from 1 species
GUUGAUUGUGCAGUUACUAUGAGACUCAGUCCACUGAUGGAGAAACUAAGAGAGUACAGUUAAUUAUGAUAAUUCCCUACAUUUAACAUUUGGAUUUGUUUGCUUUGUGUUUUUUCAUUGUUGUUGUUUGUUUGUUUUGAAAUGGAGUCUUACUCUGUCACCCUGGCUGGAGUGCAGUGGUAUGAUCUCGGCUCACUGCAACCUCUGCCUCCCGGGUUCAAGCGAUUCUCCUGCCUCAGCCUCCUGAGUAGCUGGGAUUACAGGCAUGUGCCACCACAACCGGCUAAUUAUUUGUAUUUUUUUGUAGAGACAGGGUUUCUCCAUGUUGCCCAGGCUGGUCUCGAACUCCUGUCCUCAAGUAAUCCACCUGCCUCGGCCUCUCAAAGUGCUGGGAUUACAGCCAUGAGCCACCGCGCCUGGCCUGACAUUUGAACCUUGUCUUCCCCAAUGCAGCAU